CCUACGGGUGGCAGCAGUGGGGAAUAUUGGGCAAUGGACGCAAGUCUGACCCAGCAACGCCGCGUGAAUGAUGAAGGUCUUCGGAUUGUAAAGUUCUGUUAUGGGGGAUGAACACAGUGACGGUACCCCGCUAGCAAGCCGCGGCUAACUACGUGCCAGCAGCCGCGGUAAUACGUAGGUGGCAAGCGUUAUCCGGAAUGCCUGGGCGUAACGGGUGCGUAGGCGGGCUGUUAAGUCAGCGGUAAAAGCCCGGGGCUCAACCCCGGCGAGCCGUUGAAACUGGCGGUCUUGAGAUGUCGAGAGGUAUGCGGAAUGCGUAGUGUAGCGGUGAAAUGCUUAGAUAUCGCGCAGAACUCCGAUUGCGAAGGCAGCAUACCGGCGGCGAUCUGACGCUGAGGCACGAAAGCGUGGGUAUCGAACAGGAUUAGAUACCCGUGUAGUC
rnacentral:rRNA from 1 species